UCUGGCAAUCGAAGCACGCCGCAGAACGGAGCAAGGCCGCCAGAGACAAACGUGCAUUUCAGUCUGAGAGGGAGCUUUCGAGGUUGGGUUUGGGGUACAGAGGAUACCAGCAGACCUCUGGGAGUUGCAUCGUGUGCUUAAAGCAAAAUGAGAGGAAGAGGAGUGAGCUGGCAUCUGACUGUGAAAAGGAAAAACCCCCAAAAAGCGAGAGUCACCUAGUGGGAAGGAGACAAAGGCUCUGCUGCUGCAUUUCUUGGGGUGUAAGUGAUAAAUGAUUAGGGACAGCUGCUAAAGCUUGAAGCUUCUAAAUCUGUUCUGGUGGUCAUUAAUACGGUAUUUCAUCAUUAAAUAGCUCCAUGAUCUGCAGUCGCUUCCUGUUUUCUGCUGCAGAGUCACAGAAGAAGCCAUAAAUAUGAAAAGCACAGUGCCUGAAGAAGGCAAAGGAAAAAUAAGGUGAGCAUCCUGUCUCAGCUCACUGCAGCAUGAGAGUAUUGGGUGGGUGCUUACCCCAACUUCAACACUUACAGGUGAGUAGGAAAUAUUUUCUCUGGGCAAUUUGUUUCUUUGAUACCUUCAUUCCUUACUAUCCAAUGUGUGUCAUUUAUUUUGCCUACUUUCUCAGGAAAAGGCUUGUACAACUUAUGUGGUUAAAUAGAAUCAUGAUCCAAGUAUUUUGAUGUACUUUUUUUUUUUAAUAAAAAAUAAUUGAAAAACAAUCAGUGAAAUAUGUGUUCCAGAUGAAUACCAACAAUGUAAAUUACAAGAGUAGACAUUCAAACAUUAUCAAAGGCCUGCAACUUUUUGAAUUUCUAGCUGGGUUUUGACUACCACUCUCCUGUUCCAAUGUCUGUCUCCAGAGUCACAAAUUUUUGUAUCUUUUUAUUUUUUUUCAAGCUGACUCCUGCCCUCAAGGUCUCUUAAUAUUCCCCUUCUUGCAUUCUAAUCUGGCUGAUGGUCAGCCUAAGGAAUCUUCAUCAUUGCUAAUUUCCUCCCUGCAUUAUGAGCUUUUGGGUGAGGCCUUCUCAGACAGCUGAAGGUCUUACACUGACCCAAGUUAUGUCAAGGUUGCUCUCCUGACUGCUGUCCAUUAGCAUCUCUGUGGAGAUCAUCUGCCCUCAGACUGGUACCUGCCCCAUUUUUGUCAUUGAGGCUUUGUUGCUCCACCUGUGGCAGUGGUGCUCAGGUUUAUCUGAUUUGUGUCCCUACAACUAGAACUUUGUCUCUCUGGUGCUGUUUCUGAAGUUUGAUGUUCUGAUUAUUAUCUGACUUGUUUAUUUGCUAAUUUUGUAUGUAUGCAUCCCUAUUGGAAUACUCGGGGACUUGUCUAACUUUCAGUUCACCUACUUGUGAGUGCCCAGCUGGGGUGGCCUGGGCUGCUUUUUCACACCUCUAUGCAGCGAGGGAAGUCUCUCACUGUCUUUUGUGCCACAGGCACAUCCCAAAGCUCAGUAGGGUCACACUAUGCCUUUGAAGCGAGGAUUUAAAACAACUGAGGCCGCUUUUCCUCCAUUUUGAGCCUCACUGAUGAAAACAAUAGCAAUAACUAAAGCACCCUGAGCUCAGAGUGUUGCAAUAUUUGCCCUCCCAGUCUGCACAGGUGAAACCGCAGCAUCUCCCUACCUGCCUUCAGCAACUGUGCUUCUCCACCUCUGGUAUGUUCCCAAGCUCUUCUCCAGAGAGCUUUCUAUGAUGCAAAGAGGUCAAUAAUACAAAUAAUUAAUGUCAAGUGGCUGUCAAUAGAUACUAGGUCUAAAAACAUAGCACAUGUAAACCCAUAUUAAUUAAUUGCAUCCCACUCUGAAAUUUGAACAGUAAGCAAAUUAGGAGGGAUAGUAUGGUGAUAAUGAUCAAUGCUUAUUUUUUCUGGGGAGAUGUUGAGAAGCAGAGCAGCUUUGGCACAGCUAAGUCCUUCCUGGAGUUGGUUUAUCUCUCCCCUUCUUCUGAAAUUGAAUUUUUAAAUAUUUGGUUGUUAAGGGUAUAAUACCUACUUUACAGAAAGUUGAGGUACUCAAUCACAAUAUUAAAAAUUCCUUUAAUGUAUUUAUUUAAAAUACAAAACCAGAAAUUACGUAGGAAAGCAUCAGAGGAAAAAUUAUAUUUUUAUCUUGACACACAGAUUGCUUUUUCAUGUGAUCUGAUCCACAUUCUUGCUAUUUAUAUUUCAUACUUAAUCCUUGCAUCUGGUACAUUUAGUCAAAUCCAAUCCUCUGCUCUCAGAAGCAUUUCAGCAUCUUCUGAACAAGACGGAGGAGCAGGGAUCUCAUCCUGGCACACACAGGCCUUGAAGGGGGUAAUAGCAAACAAGACAUGUCAGUCAGACCAAGUCUCCAACACCACCAUGCUAAAAAGAGCCCAUAUGAAAGAUUUUUUCAUAUAGACAUAUCAAUAUUUGUGGAAUGGAAGCUAUUGGGGUUUUUUCUCUGAUAUUUGGAGGGCAGAUAUCUGAUAGUGUCAGGUUCUCUGUGUUUCAAAGUUUUUUUUGCAAAUGGAACAGUGGAGGAAAGAGCUACAGGAAUAAAAGAUAUAGAAAGGCCCUGUUUUUUAAUAUAUAAAAUAAUCUCACUAGAAUGAACAAGGAGGAGACAAAUAGGGAAACAGAGUAACAUAUUUUUACCUUUAGAAUAAUACAGUUCUUUGCUCAGGUGUAGAAAGUUUUCAGUACAAGUUUUUUCUUUGCACACUCAAUCUGACCCAAGUCCAGGCUGCUGCCCACGCCAGUCUUUGUCUCUCCUGCUGAUUCCCUGCCAAUAGUUUCAGGACCCAGCGAUAGUGCAGUGAAAACAAUCUCCCUUCUGAGGGCAGUUUCUCAGAGGGGCAGGUGACCAUGAACAUCGGUGCAGUUACGAGGAGCUGAUGCGGUGUGAGGAAUCUGGAAGGGAGCAGGGUGGAGAAGCCAAGGGGAGGGAGAGCCCGGUAUUGUGCUGCCCAGGGACCACCCUGCACUGGAUUGGGGCAGGGGGUGCAUCACCUGAAGCUCUUCCCUUACCUAACAGCGAGCAUCACUUCCUAGGAGCAGGAACAGUUGGCUGGGUGAGAGCUGGCUUUUCAUCACAUAAGUGCCUGUCUGGAGGACACCCUCCUCCCAAGGCAGAAGCUAUCCAAGUUCAGCAGCUAAGGAGAGAGUAAGUGAUGAGGGGUGGGAUCCUGCUGCCUGGCCAUAAGCAUGAAGGAGUGUGUGAAAUACCAUGUUCAAGCACACAAAUCUUGUUCCAAGGAACAGUGCUUUGUGAGAGGAAGGGCUGGGAAUCACCACAGAUUUUCCCAUGCAUCCUCCUCAUGUUCUUCCUUUGAACUCUUUGGCUUCUGCAGAGGAAAGGAGUCAUGGCAGAUAUCCAAGAACAGCAUUUUCUCAGCUAGCAUCACUGUGAGAAGCUGAUAGGUGAACACCUCCUAUCUGGGGGAGGAAAAACGUAAAGGAAGAGCAGGGAGAGGAAAAGAGACAAUAUCUUCAAGUGGUUAAGAGUUAAGGAGCCUGCCUCUUAGGUGCCACUGAACUGAAAGUAGCAAGAAAAGUUCUCCAAACCAAGAUCUUAACUUUGGUCAUGCUGGAUAUUCUUCCAGCCAAGUAGCACAAUUUGUUGAGCACAACAAUUUCUCACAGACUACUCUGUGGAGUCCCUUUGGAUGCUGAGAAACUGAGCAGUUUUUCCUCAGUCUCUGAUGGAGUAGCCAGUGUUAUCAAAACAUGGUGAGCUGCAGUAAUUCCUACAAUUAUUCAUGACUGAUUUAUCACUUGAUUUUAGGAAUUCAGUUUAAAUAGAUUUUUUUCCAUCUCCCCUGCUCCCUAAUUGAUUAUUUUUUUGAAUGCUGAACCUUUGAGUUCCUCUCAUAAAAUAGAUUAGAGUCAUUAUAGCUGUGUGCUUUUUAAUCAUUCUGCAGUAUAAUUACUGUUUCUACUGUUGUCUUCUGGUUUACACUGUUUCUUUAUUAGCAGCUUUCAUUGCCAGAAGCUUUAAACAUUUAAUAAUCUGUCAAGGUGGUAAUUCGUUGGGGUUUUGUUUUUUAUUUUUUACUUGAAGACCUUUUCAGUGAUAUCUUCAAGCACCUGGUCUGCCCAGAUGCUUUAAUAUUCACUUAUCUCUGUCUGGUUGGCCUCGUGUUGUUUUUAAUUGCCCUUCUUCUGGAUAACCAAAGUUACCCAUUCAUCAUACAGAGAAUGUAAGUAAGUCACGUGUGACUGUAUCAGGCAGUAGGAAAACAGACCCUCCAGAAACAGUAAUGAGGCUGAUGGCCAGAGAUGACACAUGGGCUGUCUGUUGGCACUAGCAAAAGAACUUUCUUGCAGCCUGAUACAGCAUUCACAGUAAAUGCAGACUGUAGUGGUUUUCGUAAUAUGGAGGGAUUACACCACCAUUUCCUGGUUUUAAUGUUUUUUGGGAUUUCCAUUUAGGGUCCCUGCAGGAAUACAGCCAUUCUUCUCCCGAGGCUCCCAUAGGCUUUUCCUAUACAGCAUGCCAGCAUGGAGCAGCUUACCUUUCUCAAAUGCCAGGUGAAGCCAGAGAAUUUAAAGGCAAAAGGCUCUUGGACUGCAAUUCUUGCUGACCUGAGUGUAAGUUGCAGGGCUGUGGCUCCCCAAGGAGUCCUGUAGGGCUGUUCCUCUGCAGCUGGUGUGUCCAUCAGCCUUCCCUCAUCACUGAUGGGCCGCACUGUUGAGUGAUGGCAGAUUGCAGCAGUGAGGACAGCAGUCUCCUCUGGGGCCAGAGCUGUGAGCUGCAGCACUGCCCAGUUCUCAUGGAGUGCACAGCCAGGACACCCUGUGUCCCACUGGGACAAGGCACGGGUGGCUCUGCUGCAGCAGCUGCUCCUUACCCAAAGUGCCUGCUGGAGCUGUCAGCCUGGCUUCUGCAUGUACCCCUGUGCCCCCACCAUGGGCAUGGGGUCUCAGAGCUGGGGCAGCACACUGCAAGGCAGCUUUUCCCGUGUCCAUGAGGUGGUCAGAGACUGGACAGCAUCAGAAAGGGCUGGAGGACAUGAACAGUUUGGUAUAAAUUACUGAGACAGGUGACAUGGUGGCCUGUCAGUAGGUAAAGGACUGUGGUGGUAAGAAAAUGCUCAAUUCUCCCCAUCCUCGGGGGGAGUGGGUUUCCCUGCACUAGAAGUAAAAAUAAAACUUCUCGGUGAGGAAAGAUGGUGGAGAUUGGAAGUAGAAUUCCCGGGGACCUGGUGGUAUUUCAGCUGCUGGUGAUUUCAAAAGAGUGCACGUGACACAAGACUGUCAAACUGACACACAUAGGAUGGGAUCCUCCCUUCUGGCAGGGCAGCAGGUCAGGCUGCCUCUUAGUUCUCUUCCUCCUCCCACUUUCUGUGUGUGGAAGUGCAAGCCAGAGGGAACAGAAAUACUGGGAUUUGCACAUGCUACUUUCCCCUAAAGAUGAAAACAAAAACACAGAGUAAAAGUCGGGUUGUGAUUUUGACAUACAUAGAAAAGAAAAAAAUCCAAAGGAAGACAGUAAUCAUUUAUGACUAAAAAGAGAGUCAAGAAUUACUUUUGAAAAAUAAGAUAUUUACUUAUAUUUUAAAUAACUUCUUACAGAUUUAUAUUUUCUUCACUUUAUAGUUGUGUGCUGGGGAAAUGAUUACUUUACUUUUUCCUAGCAUUCCUUCAACCACUUUGAGGUAAGCUUUUUCAUUAAUGGAAAUUACUGUCUGCAUUUCUUUUAGCACUUUGUCUGUGCCUUAUUUCAUCUUGUCAGAGAAAAGUGUCAGAUAUUAAUUCUUGGGGUUUUUCUUGUCUAUAUGAUAAUCCAGACAAGAUUCUGACAAUUUUCAGUACAAUAGCCUCCUCUCAGGAAAGCUUUGAUUGCACUAAAACAUACUCUGAAGUGCUAAUCUCUUAACCUUCUAGAGUUCAUUAUUUGGACAGAUAAAAAUUGAGUUUAAAAUGACCUAAAAGGUCUUCUUGCCAAGAUAUAAUCUAGUUAAAAUUUUCUCAAAUUGAAUUAUGUGGACUGUAUACCAUGUAUUGAUUAAAGAAAUCUUCUUAAUGUAGUCAUAUAAUAAGACUCUUGACAUAUUUUUUUUUCUCCUUUGAUGGAGUUGGUUUUUAACAGAAACUUCAGCAUUUUGUUUUGUAAAACUGUCACCAUAUUGAUGGCUGCUUAGCUGGACAAGGCUCUGACCUCUGGACCAAUUCUACAUUUGAGGAGAACACAACUGCAAAAUUAUCUAGUCCAGUGCCACUUGUGAAUAAAUUUCUCAUGUUACACUGAUAUGAAGAAGCUGAAGGCUGCUUUGGAUUACAUCCUGAAGGACCGAUGCUGUGGCCUUAGUUCAAGAUGCAUCCUUUGCACUUUUACAAUAGAAAUUUUGGAAAUAUAUUUUGAACCAACCUCUGGUCAAAGAGGAAGAGGCCUGAGGUGUUGCAAGAGGAAAGCACGGCAGUUUGCAGCAGCAGGUCCUUUGCUCCCAGGUUGCAGCCUGAUUGGUGGUGCUGAUAAGUUAUACAAGUCACAAACUUCAAAUGUCACCAUUAUCCAGCCACAUCUGCACUGUCACGAGUGGCAAAACGACAAAAGAAGUGGGUACACUCAUGGUAUCUCUUGCUUCUGUUUUACACCCAUUCUGUAAAGUGUUCAAUUCUGUUAGUUCUUAUUUAAACAAUUUCUCACUUCAGAAAAAGCAAAUACGUUACCGACAUAAUACAUUGCCUUGCACCUCUAGUUUGGACAGAAGAGAUGCAUGAGUAAGUACUUGAGCAGAUGUAAAAGCAUUGCUAAAGAAAUGGACCCUUAUGAGGAUCUAAUUUCAAUUUUGGGGCAAGUUAAUGUGUUGGCUUUGGGAUUACUUUUUUUUUCUUCUGAAUGUAUUUUUUCCCGUAAUGCCAAUAAACUGCAAACAGGAUGAUAGAAAAGAAACUGCAUUGUGAGUCAUAAAAAGGAUUAUUGACUAAAUACCAGUUGUAGGAUCUACACUGCCAAUGUGUAAGCCAGAAAGCAUGUCUUGACUGUACAAUUUUAUUUCUAUUUUCAAAGCAGCAGCAGUUAAAAAAAUCAUUAUCACUUGCGUCUGAGCUGAUCAUGUUUGAUUUGGAUGUCACUGGGAUGCAAUAAACAGGAGACCCCAGGGUGCCAUUUUACUAAGACAAUUUUCAGAGAGGAACCACAGUUUCUGCAGCAAAGCACUGCUGAUUUACAUGGAUUUUCUUGUCACAUGUUUUGGCAAAAUGUAUCAGCUUGUGCUUCUUAGCAUCAACAAAUAAUACUUGACUUGCAAACGAGCUCCUUGGCAAGUACCCAGCCACAGGAGGCUUGGAGACUUGACUGUAUAAAAAAGACUUUCAUUUCACCAAUCUGUGAACUGGCACAACUCCUGCCAUAGUUGUUUGGAGCUGCUCUCUGAUCCUUGCUCUCGAUUCUUGGAUGUAGAAGCUAUGUAACCUGUUAGAUUUUACCAGAUUCCAAGCAAUGAAAAUUAAACAUUUAUUUUUUCAAUUUCCAUGUAAAUACCUCGAAGGGCUCUCAAGCUCAUUUGUGCUCUUAUGUUUGAAAUUAAUCUUUUCUACCAUGUGACAUUGGUAUAUUUUCCCUCACUUUGUAGGCCUUUCAAAAUGUUCACCUUUUAAAGAAAAAAUAAGGCAGCUUACUUUGUAUUUUUCCUGUGCAGUCUUCUUGUUCAUAAUGAGUUUAAAUAUAAGGAAUAUAAACCCAUCUGGAAAUAAAAAUUAUGCACUAGGUUCACUAAAAAAAAGUAAUUACAUUAUAAUCAAACUGUCACUUUAUGAGAUAGUGGGAGAUGAAAUACACCACAAGCUGACAAAAGAAGAUGACGACUUGCUCUUUUAAAUAUCAUCCAUGGCACAAAGCAGUUGAAGAAAACCUGAAUUACAUACAGCGUAAUCAGGAAAGCACUUGGAGCUGGGAAGGUAAAACUCAGCACUAGGACCAGGGAGGCAGAUAGGCUUUCUUAUGGUGGAAUGGGGAACCUUCAGCCUUAUGGAGCCCAACACAUGUACAGGCUACUACUGUCAACAGACUGACAGCCCAAGGUUGUUUGGACACAGCGUGCAAAACACGGACCUGUGAUUAGGAAACACAUUGAAUUCAUAUGUUGUGUUUUGCACGGACCUCCAAUCUGCCACUGUGACAGUUUUGAGUUACUGUCCUUGUUCACCUUUCUCAAAGUAAAUGUGCCCCACCGAGCUGUCAGCCUGUAUUCAGCAGGGGCUGAAUUCCUGUCUCAGGUUAGACAUGCAAGCCAAAAGGGAAAAUCUCAAUGUGUAAGGAGUCAUCUUUGUUCACAUUUUGCUGUUUCUUGUGGCUCCUUCAACCUGCCUUAGUGUGGAUGGAAAUGCCUUGGUUUGAGGCACAAUUCAUGGUCCUGUGUAGCCACUAAGUAGACAGCAGCAUUCAGGUGGGAGUGUUCUUCAGACCCUUGUCAUAUGAGCUGUUGUUGAAUAAAGCUCUUUUUCUCUCCUGAGGUAUUUCUUUGAGAUUUGAAUCUGUUCCCUGUUUUCUGUCCUCUGUCAGCAGUGGAUCCUUUUCACCAGCAGUCCCAGCAAAGGUCUUUGCGCUGACACUCAAGAGCGGACUGGUGGCAAGUGGUGGGCAUGAAUGUGGGGCAUGGGAACAGAGAGAGGGGCUGGUGAUGUGAUUUUGGAUGCAGUCUUGUCUUUCCAGCAGGGAGUAGGGAGGUGACAGGUGGGUGACUGCAAGUUUAUUCUCAUGGAUGGACAGAAGCUGGUGGAAGGCUGGUACCCAGGAGAACCGUUCUUGCUGCCAGUAAUGCAUCUAAUGAAAGAGAAAUUUUUUGUCAUAAAGGGGCUUUCUUCUGGUAACUGAAAAAAGAUUCAGGAACAUGAAUGGAUUGAAAUUUGUGGGUUUGUAGUCUGAUUUUGUUUCUGUUCUAGAGAUAGAAGUGGUGACAUACUGGGAGGUCUAUGCUGAGGAAGUGUCACACCUGAUACCUUUAUUCAGUGUCUUGCUUUUCUCUUUUCAUGCUAUGAAUACAAUGACAGAACAGUGCAGCUUGCUGUGCCAGCCAAGUAUGGUAUUAUUUUCUAUAGGUAGUGGAUAAGACUUUCUUACCCUUUGUGUAUUCAUGACACAUAUCUAUCUGGUAGGAUACUGAGAGCCUCAGGAAAACAGAAGGUGGGGGAGCCCACUGGAGACUUCCCAAUACUACAGCUUGCUUUUUCAAAUUUAAAUCCCUAAUUUGUUUGAGUACAAUUAAUUUUUUUUUUCCUAAGAAAACUGGAAAGAUUUCAGUUCCAAGAAUGUGAAUGUGAAGUGAAACUUCAUCAAAGAGAAAUAAUAAUAAAACCUUGUCCAAAUGCCUA